rnacentral:lncRNA from 1 species
UUAAUUAGAAAAUACUGGGUGUCGAGUGUUGACACCAAAAGUGGUUUUUAAGUAGCAUUAUAGCUUAGGUGAGCAAUAUAGAUCUAUAACAGCUUCGUGGAGCAUUUAGAAGCUGAGCAAUAAUAUUUUAGCAGCUUCGGUGAGCACUAUAGAUAUCAGCUUCAGCGAGCAUUAUAGUUAUCUAGCAGCUUUGGUGAGCAAAUAUUACCUAGCAGGUUCGGUGAAUGAUAAUUGAUAUAGCAACUUCGGUGAGCAAUUUAGACAUCAGCUUUGGGGAGCAAUGAUAUAUGGAUAUAUCUAUUUCAACUUAGGUGAGUAGUGUUCAAAUCGAUAGAGUUUAUAGAUGGCAUCGAUAGUAUGGAGUCAAAUGAGUCGAUUGAUCGAUUGAUGGUUGAUUUGGAUUGAAAUGUUUGGGUGAUUAUAUGAAUUGAACUGACUUGCAGAAAUGAUCUGAGGCAAAGAUAAGUCCUUUGACUUGUACUUAUGCUUAGGUAGUUCUUGGGGCAUAUUUUCUUCCU